AACGCACCUUGCGCUCCUUGGUAUUCCGAGGAGCAUGCCUGUUUGAGUGUCAUUAAAUAUAUCAACCUUCUCUUGUUGAGUCGUUUGGAUGUGGGGGUUUGCUGUGGCCUCUUUAAAAGGUUUUUAGCUCCCCUGAAAUGCAUUAGCAGAAACAGCCCUGUUCAUUGGUGUGAUAACUGUCUACGCUAUUGAAUGUGAAGGGCAGUUUGGCUUUCUAAUGGUCCUUGGACAAAGCUCAUCAUUAAUGUGACCUCAAAUCAGGUAGGACUACCCGCUGAACUUAA
rnacentral:misc_RNA from 1 species